CAUGCAAGUCGAACGAGUUCUGAUUAUUGAAAGGUGCUUGCAUCUUGAUUUAAUUUUGAACGAGUGGCGGACGGGUGAGUAACACGUGGGUAACCUGCCCUUAAGUGGGGGAUAACAUUUGGAAACAGAUGCUAAUACCGCAUAAAUCCAAGAACCGCAUGGUUCUUGGCUGAAAGAUGGCGUAAGCUAUCGCUUUUGGAUGGACCCGCGGCGUAUUAGCUAGUUGGUGAGGUAACGGCUCACCAAGGCAAUGAUACGUAGCCGAACUGAGAGGUUGAUCGGCCACAUUGGGACUGAGACACGGCCCAAACUCCUACGGGAGGCAGCAGUAGGGAAUCUUCCACAAUGGACGCAAGUCUGAUGGAGCAACGCCGCGUGAGUGAAGAAGGCUUUCGGGUCGUAAAACUCUGUUGUUGGAGAAGAAUGGUCGGCAGAGUAACUGUUGUCGGCGUGACGGUAUCCAACCAGAAAGCCACGGCUAACUACGUGCCAGCAGCCGCGGUAAUACGUAGGUGGCAAGCGUUAUCCGGAUUUAUUGGGCGUAAAGCGAGCGCAGGCGGUUUUUUAAGUCUGAUGUGAAAGCCCUCGGCUUAACCGAGGAAGUGCAUCGGAAACUGGGAAACUUGAGUGCAGAAGAGGACAGUGGAACUCCAUGUGUAGCGGUGAAAUGCGUAGAUAUAUGGAAGAACACCAGUGGCGAAGGCGGCUGUCUGGUCUGUAACUGACGCUGAGGCUCGAAAGCAUGGGUAGCGAACAGGAUUAGAUACCCUGGUAGUCCAUGCCGUAAACGAUGAAUGCUAGGUGUUGGAGGGUUUCCGCCCUUCAGUGCCGCAGCUAACGCAUUAAGCAUUCCGCCUGGGGAGUACGACCGCAAGGUUGAAACUCAAAGGAAUUGACGGGGGCCCGCACAAGCGGUGGAGCAUGUGGUUUAAUUCGAAGCAACGCGAAGAACCUUACCAGGUCUUGACAUCUUUUGAUCACCUGAGAGAUCAGGUUUCCCCUUCGGGGGCAAAAUGACAGGUGGUGCAUGGUUGUCGUCAGCUCGUGUCGUGAGAUGUUGGGUUAAGUCCCGCAACGAGCGCAACCCUUAUGACUAGUUGCCAGCAUUUAGUUGGGCACUCUAGUAAGACUGCCGGUGACAAACCGGAGGAAGGUGGGGAUGACGUCAAAUCAUCAUGCCCCUUAUGACCUGGGCUACACACGUGCUACAAUGGAUGGUACAACGAGUUGCGAGACCGCGAGGUCAAGCUAAUCUCUUAAAGCCAUUCUCAGUUCGGACUGUAGGCUGCAACUCGCCUACACGAAGUCGGAAUCGCUAGUAAUCGCGGAUCAGCACGCCGCGGUGAAUACGUUCCCGGGCCUUGUACACACCGCCCGUCACACCAUGAGAGUUUGUAACACCCGAAGCCGGUGGCGUAACCCUUUUAGGGAGCGAGCCGUCU
rnacentral:rRNA from 1 species